AGUCAGGCUCCUGGCAGGAGUCCUGCUCUCAGCUGGUUCCAGGCUCUAGCCAGGGGCUUGACUGCAAGCUGCUCAUCGAGAAGGAUGGAUGCUCCUGAGACCUGCAGUAGACAGAGCCACAAGACACACAGCAUUUGCAGGGAUGUUGUGGGAAUCCCCACAAUCAUACUCACCUGUUCCUGUUAUCUCUGCUUGGAAUUAUUUAAUCCUGCUUUGGCGUUAAGACUGAUUAUUUCUGAGGCAAGAUUAGAGUCCGACUUCAGUUGCAGCAAGGGUGAUUCACUUCAGCCUUCAGAAACUGACAGAAACCUGAGACUUCUGUCGUUCCCGUGAAGAACUGUGAAGAACUUCUAUAUCACGAAUCUGGUCAGGAGGGAGAUUUGUUCCUUGUGGAUAUCUAGAAGUAUUAUACUGAUGACAUUAGAAAUGACUCUGGAAUAAUAAUCUGAAGGAUUACACAUUUGAGAAAAAUGAAGAGAAUAUUAACUACAAAGGAUUUUUUAAUGGUGUAUUUUAUGAAGGCAAGACAAGACUGUGUAUUUCUAAGGCUCUUACUGUGCUGCUCACCGUAGUCUCAAACUCAUCUCUGAAACCAUGCUGCCUCUUCACAUCAUGAGAAGCUAAUAUACAGAUGCAAACCACAACACUCAGCUGAUGGGUAUUGUAAAAUACCUCCUUUCUAACAUGCAAUUUUGAGAUUUGAGUGCUGGUGUAAAAAAAUAGAAAAUGUGUAUUUUUUAAAAGUCAGGCUUUGCUGAAAUUAUGUUUAUAUAUAAAUAUGAUUUUAGUGCUUAAUAUUUUCCAUACACAAGAAUUAUUGCCUUUGCAAAACUUAGAAAUGGUUGUAUUUCCUUUAAGCUUUGAAUAUUUAAAAAAUGAAAGUUCUAAGUAUUUACUUUCCAAAAUAAAUGGCCUCACGAAGCCUUCUAGAACAAUGUCCAAUAGAGGUGUCAACAAUUGUCAUCAUUAAAUACUUUUAAAAUUGCAAAUAUACUGAGGCAUUUAAGACCAGCUAAUGCAUUAUUUCCCCUUAAGAUAGUGUUCUUGCAAUUAAUAUUUGAGUGGUUUCCUUCUAAUCAUGAAGGUAGCUAGGGAUUCUCAAAGAUUUUUUAUUUUGUAGUUUAAGAUGAUCACGAGGAUUUUAUCAUUCCUUGUUUUAAUGCAGCUUGUUAAUUGAAAUCUUUGCAUAUCUUAAACCUGUAUAUUUAGAUAAAAUUUCUUCAACAUCAUAAAAAUUCUGACUAUAUAUUAAGUGUUUGGACUCCAUUAAUUAAUUAAUAUAGUUUACAUAUAAUAUUUACAAAUAAUAUAUUUUGAUCACAUUCUUUCUCAUUAUAAAACUUGACUCAGAUACUCCCUACCUCUUUACCAACAUAAUUUCAUGUAUCCUUGUUCAUAUGCAAGGUCUCUUUUUCUUAUGUCUGUCUUUCUCUCCCUCUUAAACAAUAACUAAAAAUGAAGAAAUGAAAUGAAAUAAAAGAAAGUAAGGAAAUAAGGAAGGAAGAAAAACUAAAGACUGAGCCAUCUCAACAUCAAAAAACAAGGCAGUAAUAAUAAAAAAAGAAGAAGCAAAUUUCCCAAAAGAAAAAUGAAACAAGAAGAGAUCAAUUUUGCUGUCUCUGUAAAUGAGGGCUGUUCAGAAGUGUGAUUAAUAUAACAAUAUAACUGCUGAUAUUUAAUUGUUUAAAACAAAACAAACAAAACAAAAUCCUAAUUUGUUUCCUUCUCCACAGAUAUCAGUUGCAAAUACCUUCUUGGGCAAGGGUCCUUCUUUAUGUCUACUUUCCCUUCCCAUGCUGGUAUUUUUGUCUGAUUUGAGCUUGUUCAGACCAUGUUUGGGCUGCCAGUCUCAGUGCCUACCUAUGUCUGACAGUAAACUUGUUUUUGCAAAACA
rnacentral:lncRNA from 1 species